rnacentral:rRNA from 1 species
GACGAACCGUACGAACGUUAUUCGGAAUCACUGGGCUUAAGGGGUGCGUAGGCUGCGCAGCAAGUUGGGUGUGAAAUCCCUCGGCUUAACCGAGGAACUGCGCCCAAAACUGCUGUGCUCGAGGGAGAUAGAGGUGAGCGGAACUUAGGGUGGAGCGGUGAAAUGCGUUGAUAUCCUAAGGAACACCGGUGGCGAAAGCGGCUCACUGGAUCUCUUCUGACGCUGAGGCACGAAAGCUAGGGUAGCGAACGGG